GGGAUCGUAGAAACCUUGCAGUUUCUUUCAAGGGGUUCGGAUUUUAUCUCCCAGCAGCAUGUCACUUACUGUUUUAAUUAUUAGAUAAAAUAUCUGACAAGAAGCAACGGUCUUACAGUUUGAGUAGAUGCAUCCCAUCAUGAUGGGGAACACUUGGUGGCAGAGGCAGGAGGCCACGUGGUCACAUUGCAUCCGUUGUCCAGAAACAGAGAGAGACGCAGGGGUGGGGAUGCGCAUACUCAGUUUUCUUCCAUUUGUGGAAGCCCUGGACCAGAAAACGGUAUGAUCCAGUGGAUGGGACAUCUCAUCUCAGCUAACCCAAUCUAGGGCUUAUGAAUUCGAAGUCUACUGUUCGCCCCAAAUAUGAAAACGCUGGCCACAUUCAAUGCAGCUGAUCUAUUUCCAGGGCAGUUGGAUAUCUGAGCGGGUAUAUAAGACUGGAAACCAAAUGCUGGGUCUACAGGAAAUGAAGUUCUGAGGCAGGCGGGUUGGGAAUGCAAAUCUCAUGAUGACAGCUUUUGUUACAUACUAGAAACAAGGGAAGCAGCUUCUUCUCUUCUGUUUGUCCGACUUCCCUGGGGGCUUUCCUGGGAUCAUUAGAAAGAAGCAUGUUCCGGGUCACGGAGGCGGGCGCGUCACAAAGAUGGCGGCGAGAUCAAGGAGACGGGGAACUAGCUUUGAGGAUUUCAUGCACUCUACUGCUUUUUCCGGGAACUGAAACCACCAUUCCUGACCAUUUGCCAUCCUGUGAACACCUGACAGCCAGUGCCUUUGGGAUUAAGUGUCUUUACAUCCACCUUCUCACUUCCAGGCUUUACCAGGAACUGUGGAAGAGCAGGUGCUUAAUGACCACCUUGUCCAAUCGUGUGCCGGUAAGUGAUUCCCUUAACUAAAGUGACAUAUAGACACCCUCACUGCACCCACAGAAGGAAUUCUUUCUGACAACCUCAAGUUUGAUUCAUGUUGGACACUGAGCUGAGUGGAGAGCAACAUUAUAUUGUCAUUCUGGCCUAAGAAAGUUUCAGCCAAAGAAAUGAGGGUAAUUCCCCGGUCAUGCUCCAUAGCUGAGAACCUGCAUGGUCAUGGUCUUGAUGCAUUUCCCGAUGGAGCCAAUUACUUAGCUUUCUGCAAAGAGUGGCAUCCCUUGUGGAACCAGCCCUUGCAGUAUACAACUUAUCCACUGAGGUACCCAAACUAUUGCUUUCUGAAGAAGACAAGAAUCCCCAAGCAGGUACAGAGAGGCGAGAGGCUGGCCUUGGGGUGUUUCCUAAGUACCCCAUGCCUGUGUAGGGCAUGUGUCUAGAGGCUCACCUCAGCUGUAGUUCUCAGAAACCUUGGCCACCCUCUCCUCCCCGUGAUUCUACAUCCAAUGGGUACCUACGUCUCACAAUAUUCCAAAUACAACCUCUCCAGUGAGUCUCUGGACUCCUUUGUGAAUCUCAGUAUAGCAAACCUUUGUAUUUCCUUUGUUCUUUGUCGCAACACCUCAGCUAAAGCACUUUCCAAGAGAAAAAUUCUGCGUAGCUGAAUCUAGUUCGUCCUUGGGAAACAAAUUCUCUUAGGGGAGAAUCAAGGUGAUGUGUCUGAUACAUACCAAAAUUAGUAUUUUGUGUUUUCUUCUUCUAAUUAAUUAAAAUCUGUCAAACUGAUUCUCAAUAUAGGUAACAUACAAGGUAUGUGACUCUGUAGUGCUUCCCAUGCUGUUUUUAUGCCUUGCUUAUUCACUUAAGGCUGGCUCCUUCUGCUGGUUUGCAAAUAUAUUUCACAAUGCGCCUUUACAAGAACUCAUUAUUGAGUUUUUAAUACCCCGGAGGGCCUUCUCUCCUGAAGUCCCAUAGCAUUUGAGGUGAGACGGGAUCCUGCUGAGAAAAAGGCCAUGAGAUUCAGAAAGCAUGGGAUGUCUAAAUGAACUGGAAUUUCAGAUAAACAACA